CAGCUGGGAAGCUAAGUUUUCCCUUGUGAUUGUGAACCAAGUUGUUUUUGGCAAGAUACAAAUAGCUGCGUCCCUGACAGACAUCUAGGCACUGAAUUUCCAAUUAUGGAGAAGUUGCGUUUAUGGUUGAAUUAUGGACUUCACCUUAAUUCAGCAGCUAUUGCGAAACAAUUUGCCUGUCAAGUUACAGACAGAUCUGGAAAAAAAUUCUGUGUAAAAGUCCAGCAACAGUUUGCUAUUUUGCAUGCCCUUGUCUAGCAAAGAAUUAGAAAGGUUGAGCGAGAACACCUGGAUUUUCAGCAUUGGUACCCAUGGCAUCAUGCAGGACACAUGCUUGGUUUGGGCUCAUUGUUCAGGAUACCUGCAAGAAGAAAUGUACCAUGGUAACAACUGCUGGAUCAAAUCAUGCUUCUUUCUGUUCCAUAUUCCACUUCUGACACCAGCCCAAAGCAGAGUCUUAGCAAAAGAAGAUACAUGUACGUAGGAAAUAAAACAGUUCUGGUA
rnacentral:lncRNA from 1 species